UACGGAGGGUCCAAACGUUGUCCGGAAUCACUGGGCGUAAAGAGCAUGUAGGUGGAUUUGUAAGUGUACGAUUAAAGACCGACGCCUAACGUCGGGAGUGUUGUACAAACUGCAUAUCUUGAAUUUAUCAGGGGCAAGCGGAACUUUGGGUGUAGGGGUGAAAUCCGUAGAUAUCCAAAGGAACACCAAUGGCGAAGGCAGCUUGCUAGGGUAAUAUUGACACUGAGAUGCGAAAGCGUGGGGAGCGAACAGG
rnacentral:rRNA from 1 species